AAUAGAUACCCAGGUAGUCCACGCCGUAAACGAUGAGUGCUAAGUGUUAGGGGGUUUCCGCCCCUUAGUGCUGCAGCUAACGCAUUAAGCACUCCGCCUGGGGAGUACGGUCGCAAGACUGAAACUCAAAGGAAUUGACGGGGGCCCGCACAAGCGGUGGAGCAUGUGGUUUAAUUCGAAGCAACGCGAAGAACCUUACCAGGUCUUGACAUCCCACUGACCACUAUGGAGACAUAGUUUUCCCUUCGGGGACAGUGGUGACAGGUGGUGCAUGGUUGUCGUCAGCUCGUGUCGUGAGAUGUUGGGUUAAGUCCCGCAACGAGCGCAACCCUUGAUCUUAGUUGCCAUCAUUUAGUUGGGCACUCUAAGGUGACUGCCGGUGACAAACCGGAGGAAGGUGGGGAUGACGUCAAAUCAUCAUGCCCCUUAUGACCUGGGCUACACACGUGCUACAAUGGACGGUACAAACGGUUGCCAACCCGCGAGGGGGAGCUAAUCCGAUAAAACUCGUUCUCAGUUCGGAUUGUAGGCUGCAACUCGCCUA
rnacentral:rRNA from 1 species